GCUUGUUGGCAAAGUUUCUAUUUCCUUCUACUCUCUCAUAGUAGAAGCGCAUAUCAUUGCCCGGUGUGUUUCCGGUAACGAGGG
rnacentral:tRNA from 1 species